AGGGAUGUGGGGCAACUUGUUUGCAUGUUUGUUUUGGGUACAAAAUAUCACAGGUUCAAAUCCUGCCAUCCCUA
rnacentral:tRNA from 1 species